rnacentral:rRNA from 1 species
GGCUCAGGAUGAACGCUAGCGGCAGGCUUAAUACAUGCAAGUCGUGGGGCAGCAGGUUUGUAGCAAUACAGAUGCUGGCGACCGGUAAACGGGUGCGGAACACGUACACAACCUUCCUUUAAGUGGGGAAUAACCCAGAGAAAUUUGGAUUAAUACCCCGUAACAUUAUGAUGUGGCAUCACAUUAUAAUUAUAGCUCCGGCGCUUAAUGAUGGGUGUGCGGCUGAUUAGGUAGUUGGCGGGGUAACGGCCCACCAAGCCUGCGAUCAGUAACUGGUGUGAGAGCACGACCAGACACACGGGCACUGAGACACGGGCCCGACUCCUACGGGAGGCAGCAGUAAGGAAUAUUGGGCAAUGGAGGCAACUCUGACCCAGCCAUGCCGCGUGGAGGAUGAAGGCCCUCUGGGUUGUAAACUUCUUUUAUAUGGGACGAAAAAGGGCCUUUCCAGGUCAACUGACGGUACCAUAUGAAUAAGCACCGGCUAACUCCGUG